rnacentral:rRNA from 1 species
UGGGGAAUUUUGCACAAUGGGGGAAACCCUGAUGCAGCGACGCCGCGUGAUUUAGAAGGCCUUCGGGUUGUAAAAAUCUUUUCUAUGGGAAGAAAAUGACAGUACCAUAGGAAUAAGGACCGGCUAAUUACGUGCCAGCAGCCGCGGUAAUACGUAAGGUCCGAGCGUUGUCCGGAAUCAUUGGGCGUAAAGGGUACGUAGGCGGGUAAGCAAGUUAGAAGUGAAAUCCUAUAGCUCAACUAUAGUAAGCUUUUAAAACUGCUCAUCUUGUGGUAUGGAAGGGAAAGUGGAAUUCCUAGUGUAGCGGUGAAAUGCGCAGAUAUUAGGAGGAAUACCGGUGGCGAAGGCGACUUUCUGGCCAUAACCUGACGCUGAGGUACGAAAGCGUGGGUAGCAAACAGG